UACAGAGGGUGCGAACGUUGCUCGGAAUUACUGGGCGUAAAGCGCGUGUAGGCGGAUCGGCAAGUCAGGCGUGAAAUCCCCAGGCUCAACCUGGGAACUGCGCUUGAAACUGCCGGUCUUGAGUGUCGGAGAGGGUGGCGGAAUUCCUGGUGUAGAGGUGAAAUUCGUAGAUAUCAGGAGGAACACCGGUGGCGAAGGCGGCCACCUGGACGACAACUGACGCUGAGACGCGAAAGCAUGGGGAGCGAACAGG
rnacentral:rRNA from 1 species